UGGGUAAUCUGCCCCGAUGACCGGGACAACCCGAGGAAACUCGGGCUAAUACCGGAUGAACCCCCGUCACAUCAGUGACGGGAGGAAAGGUAGCUUCGGCCUCCGCAUCGGGAUGAGCCCGCGGCCCAUUAGCUUGUUGGUGGGGUAAUGGCCCACCAAGGCUGCGAUGGGUAGCUGGUCGGAGAGGACGAUCAGCCACACGUGGGACUGAGACACGGCCCAGACUCCGUACGGGAGCAG
rnacentral:rRNA from 1 species